rnacentral:rRNA from 1 species
CGGUAAUUCCAGCUCCAAUAGCGUAUACUAAAGUUGUUGCAGUUAAAAAGCUCGUAGUUGGAUUUCUGCGGGGACGGAGCGGCCGGUCGCAACUUGCGACUCGAGCUAGCGCUUUCCCCGCAUCCUGCCGCGAACCGUGCUACCAUUAGCUUGGUGGCGCUGGGGAUCGGCUCGAUUACUUUGAGAAAAAUAGAGUGUUCAAAGCAGGCCACACGCCUUGAAUAAGUUAGCAUGGAAUAAUGACUAAGGACUUCGGUUCUAUUUUGUUGGUGUUCGGGACUGAAGUAAUGAUUGAUAGGGACAGUUGGGGCGGUCUGUAUUCCAAAGCGAGAGGUGAAAUUCUUAGACCUUCGGAAGACAAACAGCUGCGAAAGCGUUCCGCAAGGAUGUUCCCUUUGAUCAAGAACGAAAGUUGGGGGAUCGAAGACGAUCAGAUACCGUCGUAGUCUCAACUAUAAACUAUACCAGCUAGGGAUCGGUCAACGUUUAAUCAUUCGACUUGAUCGGCACCUUAUGAGAAAUCAAAGCAUCUGGGUUCCGGGGGGAGUAUGGUCGCAAGGCUGAAACUUAAAGGAAUUGACGGAAGGGCACCACCAGCCGUGGAGCCUGUGGCUUAAUUUGACUCAACACGGGAAAACUUACCAGGUCCAGACAUAGUAAGGAUUGACAGAUUGAUAGCUCUUUCUUGAUUCUGUGGGUGGUGGUGCAUGGCCGUUCUUAGUUGGUGGAGUGAUUUGUCUGGUUAAUUCCGUUAACGAACGAGACCCCAGCCUGCUAAAUAGCGCGGCUGAGCUUUGCUCGGUGCGAGCUUCUUAGAGGGACUAUGAUGCGCGAUAGCACAUGGAAGUUUGGGGCAAUAACAGGUCUGUGAUGCCCUUAGAUGUUCUGGGCCACACACGGGCUACACUGGCGCCUGCAACGAGCAUAUCAGCUGGCCCGAGAGGGUCUUGGCUAAUCUUUUGAACCGGCGCCGUGCUUGGGAUUGACCAUUGCAAUUGUUGGUCAUGCAACGAGGAAUGCCUUGUAAACGCGAGUCAUCAGCUCGCAUUGAAUACGUCCCUGCCCUUUGUACACACCGCCCGUCGCUCCUACCGAUGAAUGUUCCGAUGAAAUUUUCGGAGAGCGCCAGAGAACGGGGCUCCGCCUUGCAGAUCUGGAGGCUCAAAGUCACUUAAAUCUGAACAUUUCGAGGAAGGAGAAGUCGUAACAAGGUAGCCG